GCCUGGGUGGCUCAGUUGGUUAAGCAUCUGACUUCAGCCCAGGUCACGAUCUCGCGGUUUGUGGGUUCAAGCCCCACAUCAGGUU
rnacentral:tRNA from 1 species